AGAGUUUGAUCCUUGUUCAGGAUGAACGCUAGCUACAGGCUUAACACAUGCAAGUCGAGGGGAAACGACAUCGAAAGCUUGCUUUUGAUGGGCGUCGACCGGCGCACGGGUGAGUAACGCGUAUUCAACCUGCCCACCACUUGGGGAUAACCUUGCGAAAGUAAGACUAAUACCCAAUGACGUCUCUAGAAGACAUCUGAAAGAGAUUAAAGAUUUAUCGGUGAUGGAUGGGGAUGCGUCUGAUUAGCUUGUUGGCGGGGUAACGGCCCACCAAGGCUACGAUCAGUAGGGGUUCUGAGAGGAAGGUCCCCCACAUUGGAACUGAGACACGGUCCAAACUCCUACGGGAGGCAGCAGUGAGGAAUAUUGGUCAAUGGACGAGAGUCUGAACCAGCCAAGUAGCGUGCAGGAAGACGGCCCUAUGGGUUGUAAACUGCUUUUAUAAGGGAAUAAAGUGAGUCUCGUGAGACUUUUUGCAUGUACCUUAUGAAUAAGGACCGGCUAAUUCCGUGCCAGCAGCCGCGGUAAUACGGAAGGUCCGGGCGUUAUCCGGAUUUAUUGGGUUUAAAGGGAGCGUAGGCCGGAGAUUAAGCGUGUUGUGAAAUGUAGUGGCUCAACCUCUGCACUGCAGCGCGAACUGGUCUUCUUGAGUACGCACAACGUGGGCGGAAUUCGUGGUGUAGCGGUGAAAUGCUUAGAUAUCACGAAGAACUCCGAUUGCGAAGUCAGCUCACGGGAGCGCAACUGACGCUGAAGCUCGAAAGUGCGGGUAUCGAACAGGAUUAGAUACCCUGGUAGUCCGCACGGUAAACGAUGGAUGCCCGCUGUUGGCCUAAAUAGGUCAGC
rnacentral:rRNA from 1 species